CACGUAGGGUGCGAGCGUUGUCCGGAAUUAUUGGGCGUAAAGAGCUCGUAGGCGGUGUGUCGCGUCGGCCGUGAAAACCUGCAGCUUAACUGUGGGCGUGCGGUCGAUACGGGCAUCACUGGAGUUCGGCAGGGGAGACUGGAAUUCCUGGUGUAGCGGUGAAAUGCGCAGAUAUCAGGAGGAACACCGGUUGCGAAGGCGGGUCUCUGGGCCGAUACUGACGCUGAGGAGCGAAAGCGUGGGGAGCGAACAGG
rnacentral:rRNA from 1 species